AGAACUUGUGUUCCAUGAAAUAGAACUCAGGAGACUUGCACCCUAAAAAUAACAUAUGAAAACGCGUUUAAAUCUUCUUCAAUACUUGGCUAUGUUUAUAUUUUUGUGUUAUAUAUCAAACAAUAAACGCAGUUUAAAAAAAAGCCGUUGAAACGUAUGAAUUUAUAGCGCUCUGGUUUCCCAAGCUUGUGCAGGGUGCAGCUACAGUGGCCAAUAGAGGAUGGAAACGCUUGCUAUCAGUGGGGCGAAUGGUUCUGCAGCUGUCCUUGUUGAUUGGCAAAAUAACGGGGAAAGUUUUAAAAACGUAGGGUUUCAUUUGUCAACUGAAUUGGUGGUGGAGGAAUAGCAGUGAAAUGCAGGUGCUGAAAAUCCAUGGCUAUGAAUUAGGGUAUUCCAAGACAAAAGUGCCGGCAGUGGAUAUCGAUGAUCGCAGGUAUGGCCAAGGCAUAAAUCAAAUCUCAUAGCGAUGGAAAGAUACCAUUUCUUCAGCUCAAGUUCCUAACAAUUUAAUCCUCAGAGUGAAACUUUAGCACAUUUAAUGAGGGAUGAGACAGUAAAAGAGGUUGCUCUUGCAAGCAUGUUGCAUGUACUUUGGUCUGUGCAUCAAGUGAUUUUUUUGAUGAGGUCAUAGACAACAUUCCUGGCACAUUUGAAUAGUGUGUUGGUGAUUUUCUUCAGUCUAGUUCAUUUGUGUUUUUACUGCUGCAGGUUUGCCAUUUCAUUCAGUAAGAAAACUUAUUAGUCAUAUGUUCAUAUUUGCAUUUAUUGUGCAGGUUUGCCAUUUCAUUUAUUCUAAAAAACUUAUUAGUCAUGCUUCUCUUUUCAAGAAGUUAGAAGUUACAAACUGCAACUUUCCUCUCUUCUAGAUAGUGAUCCUCAUUACUCUUCAUGGCCCUCACUUACCAGGAAUUGGAACAUAGUAUUUACAUUGAGUACUUUAAAUUUGUAGCACUCAGUCAGAGUGAAUUACUCCAUGAUUUCAUUUGAAAAAUUCAUGAAUGACAGUUUGUCUAUUUUCAUAUCAUUUUUUUCUGUCAAAUCAUAGUAUGCUUCAAGUUCCCAAAAUACCAUGAAACAAAUUAUUCACACAAAGUAUUCUGGGUUUUAGAAAAAUGAUGGAUGUGAACUGCUGUAACCUUUGUUAAGGACCAUGGGUAUCUGGUUCAUUUUAUGGAGUCCAUGUGUAUUUGUUCCUACAAGAAUUCCAUUAAUUAACUCUGAGGUGUUACAAAAAUGUUCCAGUGGUCCAAUGUGACACAAUUUUUCCUGCACAGUUAAUGGACAAAUUUGAACUUCCCCGUUUGGCUCCUGUUGUAACACUGCUUAAUGUAAGUGUUCUCUAAAAAUUGGUGGCAUAUUACACCAGUUGAGGAUUUUGUUUUACUAUAACAGCUAUUUAGUGAGAGAAAACAUGUCCAAGAAAAAAGGGAAAAAAAGUGUUGUAUGCAUUUGUUAUCUAAAAUUAAUUAUAUUUAUGAGACAAGGUUUGUUUAUAAGGCACAAAUGCUCUAAAAUCUUUGCUGGUCAGGAAGAAAACUUUGGGUUGGAAGUCCAUGGGUUGAUUUGUAGCAUUGUCCUUGUCUCCGUUACUAAUAUUGGUUAAAAGUGCUUUUGUCUUUGUGGGUCUGCCUGCCUUGUGAUUAUUGUGAAUAGUUAGUGUUUCUCUAUAAAGAAUUAUGAGCUUUCUCUAACCAAAGUUUCAUAGUUAGUUGAGAAUUUUAUUCCACCAUGUUAUCUGACUACCUUCGCACCUGUCAAAAAUUACGUCUAAAGAAUGAAAAAGAAUGUUUUUUGUGUGUUAAUCCUAUAUUGAUAAUAGCUGUGAUACAAACAAGGUUUAGAAGGGCACUUCUUGCAUUAAAAGUUUUAUCAAUUUAGAAGCAUACCUUGGGUGCGACUUUGCAAGUCUCUAGGUUGAUGUGUUAGCAUUUUCCCCAUCUAUGUUGGUAACCAUCAGAAGGUCCACAAAGCCGACAAGCACCUCUAAUUGUGAUUGACAUCCUCCAUAGGAGUACGAGAUAUCUAUUAUAUUGUUUCUUCUCUUUUUCUCCACUUUUGACUAAGUUCUAUUUCUCCAGCAUAAUGAUGGUCAUGCCGCUCUAAAGGCAGAGAUGUAAGGGAGGUUUUGAAAGCUAUAUGCUUCAAAAUAUUGGAAGGUUGCAAAAUUAUUUUCAUUCGGAUUUUCCCAACAACUUAUCCUGCUGAGAAGCUUCAUCUUUGGCAUUUGGCUAAAGAAUUAGGAGCAACAUACUAUAUUAGAUAAAUCUGUACACAUGUUGUUUCUCUUGACCUAGGAAUUGAUAAAGCAUGCUGGGUGGCAUGAGAUUUAAACUCCAUAUUCAUCUUCAUCUGAAGCAUCCAACCCAAGCCCCGAGGUCAUCAAUUGGUUCAAAUUCAGCAUCAAUUUUAACCACUAUCGAUUGGAAUGCCACUCCCACUUAGGCAGGACCCACAGAGGACCCAGCCACCUGGGAGGAAUCUGGGUAGAAUCCAUGGGGGACCAGGCUCGGCCGGUAACUUCGGGCAGAAGCAUUGCUUUUUGUUAGUUGAGCCAGGAGAAAUGCAUGUGAAUGUAGUAACACAGCCAAAGAGUGGCUACGUUUUACAAUUCCAGGAAUUUCUAUGUUUUCAUGGAAAUCUAGGCUUCUCGCUGCUGUAGAUUGCCUGGAACUUAUGCUUGUUCGAACAUUCUAGAUUAUUUAGAAAAAAAUCAUCAAGAUUAUAGUGAUAAACAGUGAAACCUCUGUGUGAGAAUUUGAAAGAAAUUUAUGUGUUUUAACAUUGAAAACAAAUAGGUUCAAUUUGAAGUCACUUUGUUCACAUAUUAAACCUUACAGGUAAAGGAGUUAGGGAGAAAAAAUGGCACAUAUAUUAUAAGAACUGGUCAGGUAUUUGUUGAGCAGAGCUGUGGCAUAGCUUCAAUAUUUUGUGGAGAUGUGAUGAAGAGGCUAGAUUUUUACUCAACGUCUAUUUGCACAGAAAUACAGAUUUUCAUAGCAGGCCCAUAUUUCAGUAGAAACCCUAAUGUGAAUGCAUGGAACGGAGGGCAAGAUUUGGGAAGACUGUUUCUGUCAUAUAAGAGAACGCACAAUGUUGCAAAGGGUGUGUAACUGGAUGGAUUAAUAUGUAAGAUUUUUGGUGCAUUCGAAACACUUAAACUUAUCACUCCAGAUAUAUUUUUGAUGUCGGUUGAAUUGAUAUCUACAGAAAAAUUCAUGAAUGUUUGUUUCUUCUUGG